GGUUCCUUGGCCGAGCGGUUAGGCACUGGUCUGCAAAACCAGGUACGGCGGUUCGAGUCCGCCAGGAACCU
rnacentral:tRNA from 1 species